rnacentral:rRNA from 1 species
GAUGAACGCUAGCUACAGGCUUAACACAUGCAAGUCGAGGGGCAGCAUGACCUAGCAAUAGGUUGAUGGCGACCGGCGCACGGGUGAGUAACACGUAUCCAACCUACCGGUUAUUCCGGGAUAGCCUUUCGAAAGAAAGAUUAAUACCGGAUAGUAUAACGAGAAGGCAUCUUUUUGUUAUUAAAGAAUUUCGAUAACCGAUGGGGAUGCGUUCCAUUAGUUUGUUGGCGGGGUAACGGCCCACCAAGACAUCGAUGGAUAGGGGUUCUGAGAGGAAGGUCCCCCACAUUGGAACUGAGACACGGUCCAAACUCCUACGGGAGGCAGCAGUGAGGAAUAUUGGUCAAUGGACGAGAGUCUGAACCAGCCAAGUAGCGUGAAGGAUGACUGCCCUAUGGGUUGUAAACUUCUUUUAUAUGGGAAUAAAGUGAGCCACGUGUGGCUUUUUGUAUGUACCAUACGAAUAAGGAUCGGCUAACUCCGUGCCAGCAGCCGCGGUAAUACGGAGGAUCCGAGCGUUAUCCGGAUUUAUUGGGUUUAAAGGGAGCGUAGGCGGACUAUUAAGUCAGCUGUGAAAGUUUGCGGCUCAACCGUAAAAUUGCAGUUGAUACUGGUCGUCUUGAGUGCAGUAGAGGUAGGCGGAAUUCGUGGUGUAGCGGUGAAAUGCUUAGAUAUCACGAAGAACUCCGAUUGCGAAGGCAGCUUACUGGACUGUAACUGACGCUGAUGCUCGAAAGUGUGGGUAUCAAACAGG